UACGUAGGGGGCAAGCGUUGUUCGGAAUUACUGGGCGUAAAGAGCUCGUAGGCGGUUCCGUAAGUCAGAUGUGAAAACUCAGGGCUCAACCCGGAGACGCCAUCUGAUACUGCGGUGACUGGAGUCUGGUAGGGGAACACGGAAUUCCUGGUGUAGCGGUGAAAUGCGCAGAUAUCAGGAGGAACACCGAUGGCGAAGGCAGUGUUCUGGGCCAGUACUGACGCUGAGGAGCGAAAGCGUGGGGAGCAAACAGG
rnacentral:rRNA from 1 species